rnacentral:rRNA from 1 species
GCGCGCAGUAGAGCUUGCUCUCUUGGCGGCGAGUGGCGGACGGGUGAGUAAUAUAUCGGAACGUGCCCAGUAGCGGGGGAUAACUACUCGAAAGAGUGGCUAAUACCGCAUACGCCCUACGGGGGAAAGGGGGGGAUCGCAAGACCUCUCACUAUUGGAGCGGCCGAUAUCGGAUUAGCUAGUUGGUGGGGUAAAGGCUCACCAAGGCAACGAUCCGUAGCUGGUUUGAGAGGACGACCAGCCACACUGGGACUGAGACACGGCCCAGACUCCUACGGGAGGCAGCAGUGGGGAAUUUUGGACAAUGGGGGAAACCCUGAUCCAGCCAUCCCGCGUGUAUGAUGAAGGCCUUCGGGUUGUAAAGUACUUUUGGCAGAGAAGAAAAGGUACCUCCUAAUACGAGGUACUGCUGACGGUAUCUGCAGAAUAAGCACCGGCUAACUACGUGCCAGCAGCCGCGGUAAUACGUAGGGUGCAAGCGUUAAUCGGAAUUACUGGGCGUAAAGCGUGUGUAGGCGGUUCGGAAAGAAAGAUGUGAAAUCCCAGGGCUCAACCUUGGAACUGCAUUUUUAACUGCCGAGCUAGAGUAUGUCAGAGGGGGGUAGAAUUCCACGUGUAGCAGUGAAAUGCGUAGAUAUGUGGAGGA